AGUGAACGCUGGCGGUAGGCCUAACACAUGCAAGUCGAACGGCAGCACAGUAAGAGCUUGCUCUUACGGUUGGCGAGUGGCGGACGGGUGAGGAAUACAUCGGAAUCUACUUUUUCGUGGGGGAUAACGUAGGGAAACUUACGCUAAUACCGCAUACGACCUACGGGUGAAAGCAGGGGAUCUUCGGACCUUUCGCGAUUGAAUGAGCCGAUGUCGGAUUAGCUAGUUGGCGGGGUAAAGGCCCACCAAGGCGACGAUCCGUAGCUGGUCUGAGAGGAUGAUCAGCCACACUGGAACUGAGACACGGUCCAGACUCCUACGGGAGGCAGCAGUGGGGAAUAUUGGACAAUGGGCGCAAGCCUGAUCCAGCAAUACCGCGUGGGUGAAGAAGGCCUUCGGGUUGUAAAGCCCUUUUGUUGGGAAAGAAAAGCAGCAGGUGAAUACCCCGCUGUUCUGACGGUACCCAAAGAAUAAGCACCGGCUAACUUCGUG
rnacentral:rRNA from 1 species